UCAUUCCCUCUUUUAUCGUUCUGCUCGAGUUAAGUGUUUUCUUCUUCUUUAUAUGCUUCCUAUAAUAUUUAUCAUGAUAUUUAGUGGUGCUUCUUGAAUAAUAUUCUUAUGCAGUUUUGCUAAUUGAACUUCUGAACAAUAUUAUAAACCAUUGUGCCAUGUCCCUAAUACGAAGCGUAUAGUUCUCAGUUUGUCUCUGUUCACAGAUGAAUUGAACUAAUAUACAUUACUGCAUGUGAAAUAUUGGGGUCAUUUAAUGUGAUAAGUUAUUUCAGCUUUUUAGACUUCUGUUAUUACUUACAAGCUGCAUGCUUAGUCGAGGCAUGUGGUUUAUAAAGUUUAGUAUUCUCGGAAUUAUAAGUUGUGUCUGGCAUGAUUUAAUAUAUUUUUUACAACGUUUUCCUUGAUGAAAACAUAUACUAAUGUUUGGUUGUGUUAAGCUGUUGAUAAUGUUUUGUGAAGGAAACUAUUUUACACCAAAAGGGAAAAAUUGACUUACAUUGAUGUGCGUGAGUCAUUACAAUUGUUAAACUCUUGUUCAACAUACUUGCUUCAACCAAUAUAUAACUAUUUUCUUCCUUUAAUCUUAAUAUUAUCACAAAAGCAUCUCUGCCAUCUCCCAACCAUACAUUAUACUGUUAUGAUGUGUUUGGUGUGAUGUAAAUUGUUUUCUAUGACAAUAUUUCUGUGUUUAUCAGGAGACCAUUUUCUAGAUUAGGUUCCGGUAUUAGGUUUCUACUUUUAAGAAUGAAACCUCUGAAUGAAUAGGCAACAUAGAGUAUCUGGAAAGGUUGAACUGACAGAUUAAGCUAGAAAAAUUGGGUCCAUUCUUGUGAAAUAGGUUCGUAGAUAUUAUUGCUCCAAUGUCAAAUGAAAGGCUUAUAUUUCCGUAGGAAAGUCUUCUUGCUUGAUAUUAGAAUCUUACCCUAAAUUGCUCGGACUCGGGUGCGGCUAUCCGAUACAGGUACGGAUCCGUGUAUCGGAUUCGGCAAAAUCUAAAUUUUAAGAUUCAGGGGUGCGAAUCCUGGUGUGGAUACGGAUGCUGGGAUUCAGCUAAGAAAAUUCAAAA